AUUUCCUACGGGGGGCAGCAGUGGGGAAUAUUGCACAAUGGGGGAAACCCUGAUGCAGCAACGCCGCGUGAGUGAAGAAGUAUUUCGGUAUGUAAAGCUCUAUCAGCAGGGAAGAAGAUGACGGUACCUGAGUAAGAAGCCCCGGCUAACUACGUGCCAGCAGCCGCGGUAAUACGUAGGGGGCAAGCGUUAUCCGGAUUUACUGGGUGUAAAGGGUGCGUAGGUGGCAGGGCAAGUCUGGAGUGAAAUGCCGGGGCCCAACCCCGGAACUGCUCUGGAAACUGUGAAGCUGGAGUGCAGGAGAG
rnacentral:rRNA from 1 species